rnacentral:rRNA from 1 species
GUGCACCGGCGAGAAUCCUUCACACUGUGCGAAAGCACGAUGAGGGAAUCCCAAGUGCUUGCACGUAAGUGUAAGCUGUUUCUCUGUUUAAAACGCAGAGAGAGUAAGGGCUGGGUAAGACGGGUGCCAGCCGCCGCGGUAAUACCUGCAGCCCAAGUGGUGACCGUUAUUAUUGGGCCUAAAACGUCCGUAGCCGGUUUAAUAAAUGCCUGGGUAAAUCGUGUAGCUUAACUAUACGAAUUCCGGGUAGACUGUUAAACUCGAGACCGGGAGAAGUUAGAGGUACUCCUGGGGUAGAGGUGAAAUUCUGUAAUCCUAGGGGGACCACCAGUGGCGAAGGCGUCUAACUAGAACGGGUCUGACGGUGAGGGACGAAGCCCUGGGGCGCAAACGGGAUUAGAUACCCCCGUAGU